GCUGUCUUCGCAGGCUGUGUCUGCCGUCAGCCUGGGUUAGACAACGUCUCACUUUGAAUUCCAGCCAAAGAAAACGCCCCGAAAUAGAGAAGAAAUGUUAAAGAGGAAACGUGAAAAUGAAAGAAAACGCUACGCCAGAAUAAAGAACGACCUGAUAAAAUUGGCUGCUUAUAAAGAAAAAGAUAGACGAAAAUAUUUAAAGGCAAGAUCUGCGGGCUUAGUAAAAACAAUAAACGAAAUGACAGAACCUGAAAAACGAAAAUGUAGAAGGUCCUGGACUGGAAAUACUAUAAGACAAAAUGUGCUAAAGACCACCCUGAAAAUUUAUUGAGUGCUAAUAUAACGAGUAUGCGCUCACAUUAUACAUAUUAUCAAGAUACCUAAAAUGUGUUUUUUUUUUCAAAUUGGUUAGGGGGACAAACUAGCCUACGGGACGCCCAAAAAGGCCUGUCAUCACAGUCACUAAAAUUGGUGUCCAUACCAUAUUAGUGGGUGCGUCAACAGACUCGGCGUUAUCACGAAGCUGACUGGAUUGGUAGUAAAUUCUCUAGUCACUGUUUUUA